GAAUUUGACAUCAUUGUAAUUGGCAUCAUUGUAAUUGGCGGGACUCUGGAUUUUCAAUUUUGUGAGCCUGUAAUGUCUAAUCAAACCGCAAAUCCCAGGAUUUUGUAGAUUGCAGCUAUAGGAGUUGCUGUCGAGAUCCAUCCAACUGUUUAUGAAGUCUGUUUGGCAUGUCUCGGACACCACCAUCAACACGAGCCAGUUUCAGUCCCUAUUCUGUUUUAUGUUGUACCAUUUUGUAUCUACCUAUGCUACUUUAUUAUCUUGGCAUGCAUCUAUCAAGAAUAGCAUCUGUUUGUGCUAUUCUUUGAACUCUGCAGGCUGUGAAGACAUCUGUGUUGGUUGCAUCAAGGAACACGAAGGCAUUGCUUUCCUUGGAAAUAUCAAAUACAGCUGACCAUCAGUGAUGAGACUUUAGACUAUGGAAGUUAUUUGUUCAUGCCAAUACAUGACCUUUAAGAUAAAAGGCAUUCUUAUGACUGAUAUGCACCAUGCUUCAGAAAAAUCUGGCCUCUUGUUCCUGGUCAUCAGAGCUAAGCUGUAGAUGACAGUCCGAACCAAGAGUUGGAAAGCAAGAGUUUUGGGAUGAACCAUCAAUUAGGAGCAAAGAAUAACAACUGGUUGCCAAAACCAUGUUUAAAGAGCAAGACUGAAGUCUGUCACAGAGCAAGGCAGGCAUCUUAGGUGACAGAUUUGGGGAUAUCAUGAACGUGAAGGGGCAACAAAUUAUUAGUUAUUUAAUUUUAUAUUGUCAUAACUUUACUGCUGAAGAUGGGGGGAAUUUUUCACCCCCUUUGCCAAAUAAUACAGCAAAUAAUACAGCAAACACUCUUGACUGUCGCAUCUAUUUGGGCUGACAUUUGGCAAGAUGGAUCUAGACACACUAUCCUUACAAGUGAAGACCUAUCUCUUCUGUCAGGCCUGCCAAGACAGUUUUAAUGAUGAAUUUUAAACUUACACUCUAUGUCUAACUUUUGUUUUGUGCAUUUUAAUAUAUAUAUUGUGGAAUUAUAUUUUAAUAUGUGCAUUCUACAGAGUGUUUUUAAAUGAUUAUGUGUGUCAGUAAUGUUGUAACCCGCCUCAAGCUGUGAGGAGAGGCGGGUAAGAAAUAUAAUAAUAAUAAUAGUAAUAAUAAUAAUAAUAAUAAUAAUAAUAAUAAUAAUAAUAAUCUGUUGAUUCCUGUUUUUCUAUCCUUUUCAUUUCUAUCCUUAUCUGCUACUAAUACGUAUCCAAUUUUCCCUCUUCCCUCUUCCUCCCUCCCUCAUUUCAUAUGUGAAAUACUGGAGAGUAUGUACACAACUGUUUGGAUGAAGAGUGCCGUUUGCCUUAAAUAUCCCAGUUCCUCCUGAGAUUUGGCCCUAUUUGGAAGAGCCCUCAGAGAUCGACUAGAGUGAGCAAAAUCAGCCCAGGGCUUUAACUGAGAAUCUGCCACAAAUAAUUUAGAGGGUUGCCAUGCUGUGAAACUUUACACAGAUCCUGUGCAGUUCCUGAUAUAGCAUAUCACUAUGCCAAUACAGGCUGAGUAUCCCUUAUCAAGAAUUCCAAAAUCCGAAUUACUACGAAGUCUGAAAUGGUUCAUAUAGGUGAUUGAGAGAGUGACAUCUUUACUUUCUAGUGACUUUAUUUCUUGCACAAAAUUAUUUAAAAUGCUAUAUAAAAUUACCUUCAGAUUCUGCAUAUAAGAUGCAUGUGAAACAUAAAAUGAGUUUUUUUGUUUAAACUUGGAUCCCAUCUUCAAGAUAUUUUUCUAUACAUAUAUGCCAAUACAGGUAUUUCAAAAUCUAAACAAAAUCCAAAAUCCAAAUCACUUCCGAUCCAAAGCAUUUUUGAUAAAUGAUACUCAGCCUACACUGCAGUAGAUAUUAAGGACCUCAUCACAUGGAGGUCAAGAAACCGGGGGACAAUGGGGGAAACUGUAGGCCAGCAUAACACUGUGUUCCCUUACUAUUGAGAGAUCUCUUUCCACAACAUUUCCCCACUGUCCCCGGUUUCCUCCUGCUUCCUUCCUUGCUUCUUCUCUGGGAUCCACCUCUCUGCGCUGUCGGCACGCUACCAGCAUGGAGCCAAAUGGAGCACCAUUGGAAGUAGCCCUGCGUCACCUUACAGGCUCCGAGGAACUCGGAGCCGGCAGAGUGCCAGUAGCAUGGAGAAGUGCUGAGAAGACAUUUAUCAACCUCAAUGUGAUGCGUCCAUAAAACAGUGUUUCUGGUGGACUCAUACAACCAAUGCCCUUUUUUCAGAUUUCUGACUUCAACUAUUUUGUCACAUUUUAUCUCAUAACUGUUAGCAUGGGGCAAUCAGUUCUUUGAGCUCAAAGUCUCCAUUCCUUUAACAGGUUGAUGAGGCUAAAACCAAGAAGGUAGGAAACCAAAACAAAACUAUUAAAUAUUAAGGAAAUACGUUCAUUUCAGUAAGAAACAUUACAUUAUUUAAAGAAUGAAUGAUUGUUAUUGUGAAAUUUUUCCUCAAAAAAGCUGCCUAUAAGCAGGCCAUGCAAUUGUAAAUCUUGAGCGAUUAAUCAAUCAUUUGCAAGAACUUUGGCUAAUGAAUCCAAAAAUUCAAAUCUGAUAAAAGUAAAAAUAAUUAGACUGAUAAGCUUGGUUUAAUAUUUCAGAAUAUAUAGUAUUAAUUGUUUAUUUUUCUUAAGUUAUUCAUGCAUGUGUGUAAAAUAUCAUUCAAAUUGACAUCUGAUGCAUAAAUCGCAUUGACUUUUUCAUGUUUGAAUUCAAUGAAUUCUAAAAAAGAAGUAUGAAGUCUUAGUCAAAUAAGAAUUUGUGUUUAUUAGUAGUAUAGAAACCAUAACACGGUAACACCUUUGACUGGAAUCGUGUCUACUUGCGGUUCUUUAUUUAGCUUUUAAUCUCAAAGCUUUUGUAAAUGAUUAUAAAAUAGCAUCUGCUGAAACAAAUCUCCUCACUUUAGGGUUGCCUUUAGAGAACCAGGUGCUGCAUUUGGUGUCAUUUUGUCUGUCGUAAGAGAAGCAUGAAGUUAUUCAUAAAUAAAUGAAUAAGAAAGCUGCUAGCAGAAAGGUUUACAUCCUUUUUCCAAAGAUGAAUGUGCUGAAUGAAAGCUGUGCUGGCAAAAGCUGAGGAUGAGAGAAAAUGAAGCUAGCAGUGUUGCAUGACAAAUACAAGUUUUGGAAAGUUAUUUCUAUUUUCUUGCAUGGAAGAGCCAAUGGUGGCUUCCAAAAUUGACACUUGCACCUGUCUCAUUAACAUAUGUAUAAUAUAACAACAGUUAAAAGUUACUUUAUGAAACCUUUUGAUGAUCUUGCCUUGCCUCCAGUAUAAUACAAGUGGUAUUUCUGCAAUAGUUGGAUAAUUAAUUUAUCCAACUACAGUACAACCCCUUUAUCCAUGGAUUCAAUACCCAUGGUUUAACAUGCUCACAUUCCAGCAACAGCUGAAGACCUUCCUAUUCAAACAAACCUUCAGCAAAGAAAUUUAGGCUGAAGUGAUAAGAAGGUUAAUCUUCACCAGAUGGUAUAAAGUAUAAUAAGAUUUGACAAGACAUCACAAUGAUAUGUCAUUUUUAUUGAUUGCUUAUUUUGUUUUUAUAUUUGUGUUUUUGAUUGUUGGUGAUUUUUUUUGUAUGUUAUUGUAUUUUAACAUGUUGGAAGCCACACUGGGUUCCUUUGUGGGAGAAAAGCAGGAUAUAAAUAAAGAUUUAUUAUUAUUAUUAUUAUUAUUAUUAUUAUUAUUAUUAUUAUCAUCAUCAUCAUCAAAGUAGAUGCAUUCCUGGCCUUAGAUCAGCUGUCAGAAUUUAAAACACAUUUGAAGACCUAUCUCUUCUGGUAGGCCUACCCAGCAAGUUUUAAUGACAAAUUUUAAAUUUGCGUCUUAUGUUUAAUCUUUGUUUAUGUUUAAUCUUUGUUUGGUGUAUCUUAAUAUGUAUUUUGUAGAAAUAUGUUUUAAUAUAUGUAUUUUAUUUUUAUUUUACAGAAUAUUUUUAGAUGAUUGUGUGUUUUAACAAUGUUGUAACCCGCCUCAAAAAUUUGGUACUAGGGCAGAAAUAACAUGGAAAUAAUUGUGAUAUAUUCAUACACCACAAAAAAGAAGUUCGGUAUGGUUCAGCAAACUUUUUAUUUGAAACAAACAAUAUGCCUCUAUCAAAGGAAACUACCAAGUUAGAUAAGUCUCAUACAAGAGAAAAAAAAUAUUUUGAAUUUUCUAGCAACCACUUGUAGGUUUCUUACCAAAUCUUUCAAGGAAUGACUUUGGCUGCUUCUACACUGUUUGAACUGCAUUAUAUGGUCAGUGUAAAACCAGCCUUUGUUUAUUACCACCCUCCACUUUCCUUAGAUUUUUAGUUUUGGUGGGAUAAUUAUUGGAGGAGCUUAUCUGCUCUCCCCUUUUCUCUCUAUUUUGUUGUUCACUUUUGUUCAGUAAAUUAUUUUGAGGACUGUUGCUGUUUACCUUGUCUGAUGUAGGUAGGUGCAUUCAGGCUAGAGUAGACUCUCGUUCUUUCCCAACUUAGGCAGGAUUUAUUUCAUUGUUUACUGCAGGGAAGCAAAAUAUACAUGAUUGUGAUAUAAUAAAAACACACAUUGCAAUUGUUCUUUUGGCCCUAGUUCCUCUGCUACUCUUUACAACACUGCUUCUUGAAAACUGGAGAUGGCGUGUGUAGAAGAAAGAAUUUAUGUAGAUGUUGCUUGCAAGGCCACCACAUAACAAGCAAUACCUUCUGAAAUAUUCCUUUAAAUUGUAAUCCACCUUGUGUCCCAGUUUUGGGGGAAAGGCAAUUACAAAUAAAUAUAAAUAGGAUCAUCUUCAAAGAUACAUGACCUGUCUCCAGUUUUCAAGCCGGCAACCCUAGUUUCUGUUGACAGAGAUUCAACCCUUGGAAAGCAAUAUGGUUACUUGAACUCCUCAACUCCAUUUUAACUGCCUGCUGACUCAGACUGAUAGUCAAACCUUAGGGGAACUCACUGUUAUUACAGUCUCAGUCUCAGUGUAAAUAUCACGAGAAGGUAAUGUACA
ensembl:lncRNA